rnacentral:rRNA from 1 species
CGCGUAGGCGGUUUGUUAAGUCCGAUGUUAAAGACCGAGGCUCAACCUCGACACGGCGUUGGAUACUGGCAAGCUGGACGGUUGGAGAGGAAGGUAGAAUUACCAGUGUAGCGGUGGAAUGCGUAGAUACUGGUAGGAAUACCCAUUGCGAAGGCAGCCUUCUGGACAACACGUGACGCUGAGGCGCGAAAGUGUGGGGAGCAAACCG